AAAAAGAAAGAAGAAGAAGAGGGAAAAUGGAAGAAGAUGGACGCUGUUUUUUUUUUUUUUUUUGAUAUGGACGAUGCUUUUAAUUUAGGAACUAGGGUUUUAAUGUUUACACUGAAUGCAACGUUUCAUUUACCGGAAUGGUGUGUGCUGGCGAGCCACAUCAGCACCACGUCGAUUCCGAUUUGAGGGGGAAAAAUUGUGGAAAAAUUGAACAAAUAUCAAAAUAUUUGAUAAAAAAAUGAAAUUUUUAAAGAUCGUGGGGAAAAUGAAUUUCGGGCAAAGUUCGUGAUAUUAUAU
rnacentral:lncRNA from 1 species